rnacentral:rRNA from 1 species
GUCGACGACCGGCGCACGGGUGCGUAACGCGUAUAGAACCUACCUAUAACUGGAGGAUAGCCCAGAGAAAUUUGGAUUAAUACUCCAUAGUAUAUUUGAUUGGCAUCGAUUAGAUAUUAAAGAUUUAUUGGUUAUAGAUGGCUAUGCGUUCUAUUAGCUAGUUGGUAUGGUAACGGCAUACCAAGGCUACGAUAGAUAGGGGUCCUGAGAGGGAGAUCCCCCACACUGGUACUGAGACACGGACCAGACUCCUACGGGAGGCAGCAGUGAGGAAUAUUGGACAAUGGUGGGAACACUGAUCCAGCCAUGCCGCGUGCAGGAAGACUGCCCUAUGGGUUGUAAACUGCUUUUAUAGAGGAAGAAACCCCGGUAUGUAUACCGGUCUGACGGUACUCUACGAAUAAGGAUCGGCUAACUCCGUGCCAGCAGCCGCGGUAAUACGGAGGAUCCAAGCGUUAUCCGGAAUCAUUGGGUUUAAAGGGUCCGUAGGCGGGUCUGUAAGUCAGUGGUGAAAGUUUGCGGCUCAACCGUAAAAUUGCCAUUGAUACUGCAGGUCUUGAAUUAUUGUGAAGUGGUUAGAAUAUGUAGUGUAGCGGUGAAAUGCAUAGAUAUUACAUAGAAUACCGAUUGCGAAGGCAGAUCACUAACAAUUGAUUGACGCUAAGGGACGAAAGCGUGGGUAGCGAACAGGAUUAGAUACCCUGGUAGUCCACGCCGUAAACGAUGGUUACUAGCUGUUUGGAUUUCGAUCUGAGUGGCUAAGCGAAAGUGAUAAGUAACCCACCUGGGGAGUACGUUCGCAAGAAUGAAACUCAAAGGAAUUGACGGGGGCCCGCACAAGCGGUGGAGCAUGUGGUUUAAUUCGAUGAUACGCGAGGAACCUUACCAGGGCUUAAAUGUAGUUUGACAGGGAUAGAGAUAUCUUUUUCUUCGGACA